CGGUUUGAUGGAAAUAAUGGCCAGUAUAGUUAUGAGAAUUAACAUCUCAUGUCUCAAGGUGACAAGCGCUAUGCCGUGCAAAGCGAAAUUGUACGUGAUGAUGUUAAGCGAGAUAAACAUUGGGAACCCUACGGACUGUAAUGUUCCUAGCGAGGGCAUGUGGUGGAAACACAAAAAAAGUGCGCCGAUUUCGUCGAAAAUUCUGCACCACGCGAGGCAGCUGUAAGCGCAAGACUUUUUCCAGGGCAGGCUUCUAGGGUCUUCACCACACGCCUUUGCCCUGUCCGACAGCAUAACUACGCACAUGUAGAUAAACUAUAGUAGAACCUGUUAAAGUAGGUACUCUAAAAACAUGACACAAUUUUCAGAUACACAAUAAGAAUAUAAUGCAACGCAUUUGGGAAGAAUAAUAUGACACAAUUAUCAAAUUGUCGUUUAGGCACACAAUAUGUUGCAAAUUUUCCCUUUUCAGACAUACAGCUACCUCAUGGCUAUUAAUAACAUCAGUAAUGUUCCAUCAGUCUCACUAUUUAUACUUUGCAUACGGAUAAACUAUAAAAUUAUUACAGUUAAAAUAUUCCAUUGUUUGUAUUUCAAAUUAACUCAAAAGCCACGCCCAUAAAUGUGGACACAUAUAAAAUGGUACUUUUAUCCUGAAAAUAAAAACACAGUGUAAACCUCAACCGGGAUGAAGUCAGAACGCCAAAAGCCAAUAAAACUAGAAUAUAUAACAUCAAUUAGUUUAA